UACUCUUGUGAAGCGUUAAAAAGGUCUUGCAAUUCACAACAAAUGUUACCACAAAAUGCUUACAAGAGCAAGUCUAGACUCUUCCCCUUGUUAAUAUUAAUUGUAGAGCCCCAACAUCAAGAUAAGAAAAUGAUUCAAUCUCAUUUUAUCUCAAGAUUCAAUCUUGUCCCGUCUUAAUCCACCAUGAACAGAGCUCUUUACAGCAUUAGUAAGGUACAGUGUGGUGAAAACCUUCAUUUAACAGGCAGAAGCCUCAAGCAUCUCCAGACUCAUGUUGAAUAGCCUUCUGCUGUGAAUGUGUUGGGCUUAGAAAGAUGGAUGUAGUAUAACAACAACAACGGCAGUAACAAUAGGUCACACAGAUUAAUUAUAUCUGGCAUUAUAUUUAUGAGUAAUGAGUAGGAACAUAGAUGUUAUACCCUGACAUAUGUGCAACUACACUCUCAAGCAUUCGCCCUUAAAAUGGCUUUCCUUGUGACCUGCAUGCUCUCCCUCAGAUGUUUAUACGCAGAUGAUUGUCCUCUUCAGAGGUCUCAAGCAUCAGAUAAACACUAACCUCUCAUUUUUCCUGAUAGGCGCUUUGACUUGAUUACAGAGGACCUGAAUCACAGCUCAAAACCCUCAUCGGCAGAUAGAGAUUGCAAAUGAGCAGGAAACAUGAUAUCUUGAAAGCUAAGUGUGCUGCAUUAUUUAUUGCCUCUCUUUCCCCCUUUUUUUUUUUUUUUUUUUACAAACCAAACGGGUGCAGCAGUCCAGUGCAUUGGUUUGUAAUUAUUCUUUCACCGAUCAGAUGUCAGGCCUGGAGAUGCAUGAGGCAGCUGCCUGUGUGCUGACGCUCUCGCCUGAUUAAGAUCUGUUACAGAACACAACACAGCAAUUCAAUUAGUCAGGACCUGUUCCCGUGUCGAGCAGCGAACUGUACAUGAAAGCAGACCAGCCUGUAUACCACAGAGCUUAAAUAUGAGUCAUUAAUCCUUUUUUUUUUUUUAAAGAUUAAUUAGUUUUUUUCUGUUCCUCUAACCGCAUGCAAAUUAAUGACAAAUUAGAAAACAUGAAUGGAAAUUAGAAACACAAGGCAUCACCCCGCACGUAAAUGUCCAUGUGUCAUUUUAACUUUAAUGAUGCGUGUAUGUCUGUGUUUGCAGAAGCAUGCUCUAGCUCAGACAAAAUGUAAACACUUUCUGAGUUAUAGUCCUCCAUCCUCUUUUAUUCUCAGUGCUGAUGGGACGCUUUCUUCAUGUAUGUCCUAAACUACACACAAAGUGACAGCUCCCAUCACUAAACUUGUUCAUUAAAUCAUGGCAGAGCCCGUGUAAGAUCACACUAUCAUUGUGCAUGCGGCUCGCUUCUUCCUGCUUUCAGCACAUGCAUGCAGAGCUGCCGGCUUUUGAGCAUCUGUUUAUGUGCUGCCCCUCUCACGACCCCUAUUGGCUUUUGGCCUUAUGGCUCCCAUUGGGAUCUACACACUACAUCCUCAUUAUUGUGUGUGUGAGGAAAAAUCCGCCCUGGGAAUGAUGUAUUAAGGUGCGGUAAGAACAACAUACUAAACAAUAAGAAAAUUUUAUGCUGAGGCAGCUCCGGUUUUCUUCACCUUUGGUUUCAGGUGAAGCCUGUCAUGGGUAUGUGUGGAUCAGGAGUGAAGUCCCAGAGCCACCUUUGAUAAAGGGUGUUUUCCCUGAAUUUAAACGUAACAUUUGAACCUUCGUACUGAAAUGAUAUGCUGAUGUUUAUAUUUCAAUCAAAUAGUUGUGAAAAAAUAAAUGAAACUGAUGCAGAAAAUGUUCACAUACCAGGAACAAAAGGCAAAAGAAAAUGUGCUGAUCUAUUUGUCACACUUUCAUCAUCACUGCUGUUGUGAAAUGCUUUAUAGACCCAUCCAAAAAUUCUGCUCAAGGCUGCUUAGCAACCACCCCCCUAACAUGUCAAAGUGUCAUUCACAAAUUCACAACACAUUACCACUAAGAUCAAGCCUCGGCUGGCAAACAGUUUGGGCACAGAUUAACUGGUGUCAUUUGAGCUGUUCUUAUAUUGACAUGUUGUGACCUGUCAUGUCUUACUGCCAUGAGGUAGAGUUGUUUAAGGACAUGUGUUAAACAGAGAAUGCAUCCUCUUCCGAGGCUUGUAAAAUUCAUGCAUUUAUUUGUAUCUGAAAUAAAGACACUGAACAGAGUUUCUUUCCAUUUUUAAUAGGGGUAAAAAUGCCUAUUUUAAAUACAACAUAAUGGGAUUUAAGACAUGCAAGCAAAUAAAUAAAUCAGGAUAAACUGUUAAGACCAAACUGCACAACCACAAAAAAGUGAUGAUUUUUGAUUUUCUGUAUUAUAAGAGUGUAAACCAUGUUACUUAAUGGGAAGCUAACAUAGACUGUAUAUACUAUGGCCAACUUGGUUCCGCCUUCAGCCAGUAUACAGAUUUAAAGCCAAAAAGCUCUCUGUAUUUUCGGGUUUUUUCUCCGCUUCCUGAAACCACCACUUGCACAGUAGUGUUGUACACAUUUGGCGGGAGAGUUGCUGUGAUAAAGCUCGGCUCAAACAGCAUAUCCCCUGGGUGAGCUAUGCAAUCUUCAUACACCCAUAGGCUGUAUCAAGUGUCAAACAUGAACCCGAGCUGCAAAGAAAAAGCACAAACUUGAGACUUGAGCACAAACCAGUCUUACAGUAACUACAUGUCAACAUUGCAACCGGGGUGGGGGGGGGGGUUAUAUUCUGUGUAAUAAAUUUGUAAAAUUUGUCCACAGCUCUAUGACCUAUACUGCAGCCCGUCACCAGAGGGUGCUAUUCUCGGGGUGGCUUCACCCAGCGAGGAGGCAGACACUGUCCAUUCUAUAUACAGUCUAUGUACGCCAGUGUUCUGAGACAGCUCACAGGAAAUUGGGGUGUUUAACAUACACACAUAAAGGUAUUUUAAAUUUAUAAUCAACAAUUUUAACCACAAUAUUAGGCACCAAACCUGUUAGCAGGUUAAUUAAUCAGACCCUUUCUUUCUCUUUAAUAACUUGGUUUUAUUAGGUCUGAACUUUGCCGAUAGCUGCAGUGAAUGCAGUCAUAAAACACCCUCCAGUUUCAGCCAACCUUUCUCUGGAGAAUAAUGAUUCCUUAGACGUCCGCUCCCACUCCAUCCCUCCUCUCUCUUGUCCUGCAGACUGCAGCACAGACAGUUCCAUUCUCUCAUUCAGAUAACAUGUCAACGAAGAGCUAAGACCGCACACUGACACCUGCUAAUCAUCUGUCCGGGGUCUGUUCACACAUUCGCCUGUCCUCCUGAGCGAGGAUCUGAUUGCCUCCCUGUGCCCUCUGCCUGGCCCUGAGUCAUUCUCACCUUCAGUCUGUGUCUGUCGUUUUCAUUCUCGCCUGCUUUUCUCACUCAUGUUCUUCUCCAGUGGCACUCGCACACAUUCCCACCUAUUUCAAUUUCAGUCUCUCAACAUGACUUUUAACAUUCAUCUUUUUUUGCUGUGUCUCUGCUGCAGCUUUUAUACUCACCUCACUCUGUCUUUGGUCUGUCUGUGAUCGUUCAGUUGGAGUCUGAGCAAAACAAUGUGACUUUGUUGACUCAGCUUAAAGCUUCAUAAAGGACUAAUAUGGUAAUAAAUUAUCAGUAUCAUAAUGAUUGUAAAUUGGUGUUUAUUUGAAGAGUUUUACCAGUUUAGUAUAAGUUCUGUCUGUAGGUAACAUCUGGUAAAACUUACUGCAUCUCCCCAUCCUCCAAUUUAUCACAUCCAAUGCGCCAUGGCAACCAAUAUUCAUGGUGGACUUCAUACCUCCUCAGAGAGAGGUGCAUUUGCAGAGGUUUUGGGUUGUUUCCAUCUCCUCAAACAGCUUUCAUCAUUCUUCUGGUGCAACUUUUUGUUCAUCAAGUUUUUGCCACUUGGAGGACUUUUUAUUCAAGCUUUGUGUGAAAGUGAUGAAGUGUGUAAUGCCCUUUUGCAAACUGACAGAUAUAAAGAAGCGAAUAACGAGAAUAAAGGAGAAAAUGUUGGAUGUUGGGGUGGGUGCUGCAAAGCCCCAUUUAUAAAUGUAUAAGCUUUUUAUCUCAUCUGGGCCUGAAUACAGUAAAUGUGUGUCCAUCCAGAGUCUGUGCUCGAAUGCUGUGUGCAGUGAUGCAUGCAGGUAUGAACUGUAAAGGCUAGUGAAUGGAUACUGUGAUAGUUAGACUGUGGUUAAUGGUGCGCUGAGCCCAGCAGAGAGAUAAAAGGAGCGUCUUUCCUUGAUAACAUUGGCGAGACUCAGUGAAGUGGUCUUAAAACAUCACACUCAAGGCUCAUUGCCUGGAGAGCUGGAUUGCUCUUUCCUCCGGGGUGUCCUCCUCUCCUCCACGGUAUUUCCAAGCCCCAUAUGGCAUUGCAGCAGAACAGAACAGAUUUAUUAUUUAUAUAGUGUGUGUGUGUGUGCAUGUGUGUGCGUGUGCAUCCCAAAC